rnacentral:tRNA from 1 species
UCCCUAGUGGCUCAGUGGUAAAGAAUCUGCCUGCAAGGCAGGAGACCCAGGUUCGAUCCCUGGGUCAGGAA